rnacentral:rRNA from 1 species
AUAUCAAUAAGCGCAGGAAAAGAAACCAACAGGGAUUGCCUCAGUAACGGCGAGUGAAGCGGCACCAGCUCAAAUUUGAAAUCUGGCCUCUCGGGGUCCGAGUUGUAAUUUGUAGAGGAUGUUUUGGGUACCGCUCCGGUCUAAGUUCCUUGGAACAGGACGUCAUAGAGGGUGAGAAUCCCGUAUGUGAUCGGUUGCCUUUGCCAUGUGAAGCUCCUUCGACGAGUCGAGUUGUUUGGGAAUGCAGCUCUAAAUGGGAGGUAAAUUUCUUCUAAAGCUAAAUACUGGCCAGAGACCGAUAGCGCACAAGUAGAGUGAUCGAAAGAUGAAAAGCACUUUGGAAAGAGAGUCAAAAAGUACGUGAAAUUGUUGAAAGGGAAGCGCUUGCAACCAGACCUGCCUGCAGUUGCUCAUCCGGGCUUUUGCCCGGUGCACUCUUCUGCUGUCAGGCCAGCAUCGGUUCGGGCGGUCGGAUAAAGGCUUCGGGAAUGUAGCUCCUCUCGAGGAGUGUUAUAGCCCGUUGCGAAAUGCGGCCAGCCUGAACUGAGGUCCGCGCUUCGGCUAGGAUGUUGGCGUAAUGGUUGUCAGCGA